AGUAAACUAUUAUAUCAUCACUUUUUAUCUCCUUGCGUAUAAUUGGAUAGAUGUAUGUGUAUAUGGAUAUUAACGCCGGUAAUAUUGCAUUGUGUAUUUAUUCACUACAACUUCAUUGUGUCAUGAUGACACAAAAUUCAUACAUGACAACUACAAAUUUUAUUUUGUUGUAACAAAGAUAUGAAUAUGCAUACAAAUAUGUUUAUGUAUACUGACAAAAUUUCAUGAUUUUUUCUAAAUAAUGUAGCUACGCUUUGACUGUCCACGUGCGCACACAUCUCAUUUAAAUACGUAAAUGUCGGUGGUAGAAACUAUCUUGAUGGUUUUAGUGCACUCAUUCAUAUUUGUGUAAGAAAAAGGUGAUUGGGGAAAUUAUAUGAUAAAAAACAGUUAAAAACAAUGUUAAAAAAAUAAGUGGGUAUUGAGUAAUAAUAAAUUCGUUAGCAACAUUUGCAUGGAUGGUUUUCAAUAUUUUUCUACACAACAUGCAUGUUGAAUAUCUCGUGUUGCCUUAUUUCGUUUGUAUAGUGCCUAAUUCAAGUUUUUACAACCUUAUGCCCCUAUUGCGGUUUUCAACCCAAAUGCAUUUCAGUCGAAGUUUAAAAAUUCGGUAUUGCCAACUUCAACUCAAUCCGUCAAAAAAAUUGCGGUUGAAGUAUGAUCGAACUUCAACUUUUUUUUGGUAUUGCGGUUUUCAACUCUGUACAAGUGGGUUUGACUAGUAUAUAAAUAAACUUCAACUGCUUAAUAGCAGUUGAAGUUCACCAUUCGUGCAGUGAAAUACAAAAAAAUAUUAAUGAAAAAUGGAGGACGGAAAAAAUAAAGUUGCAACAAAAAAGCAUUUCGAAAAAUUGGUGGAGUUAAUGGAGAAGUUUCCAGAAGUAGGAAGAGGAAAGCCACAAUUUGGAAACAAUAAAUUCAAUUUGAGGUGCAGCGCCUCAAAAUUGCCAAAUUAAAAUCUUCGCAAAGAUUUUAAUUUUUUUUGGUUAUUUAAGACACAAAGUAAUAUUUUUUUUAUUUUAUUUUUAAUUAUUCUGGAAUGAAGUGAUAUUUUAUAUUUUUGUACCAUAGUGUAAGUUUACUUUAAAAAAUUAAGUGAUAUUGUUAUUUAAUGAAUUUAUUGAAAUAAAAUUUAAAUAUAUGCCUGAAUAAAUAGCACAUUAGAAAGAAUAAAUGAAA